rnacentral:rRNA from 1 species
AUACGUAGGUGGCAAGCGUUAUCCGGAUUUACUGGGUGUAAAGGGCGUGUAGGCGGGCCUGCAAGUCAGGUGUGAAAUUCCAGGGCUCAACCCUGGAACUGCACUUGAAACUGUGGGUCUUGAGUGAUGGAGAGGCAGGCGGGAUUCCGCGCGGUGCGGGGGAAUGAGUAGAUAUACGGAGGAACACCAGUGGCGAAGGCGGCCUGCUGGACAUUAACUGACGCUGAGGCGCGAAAGCGUGGGGAGCAAACAGGAUUAGAUACCCUGGUAGUCCACGCUGUAAACGAUGGAUACUAGGUGUGGGGGGUCUGACCCCCUCCGUGCCGCAGUUAACACAAUAAGUAUCCCACCUGGGGAGUACGAUCGCAAGGUUGAAACUCAAAUGAAUUGGCGGGG